rnacentral:rRNA from 1 species
AGUGAACGCUGGCGGUAGGCCUAACACAUGCAAGUCGAACGGCAGCACAGUAAGAGCUUGCUCUUACGGGUGGCGAGUGGCGGACGGGUGAGGAAUACAUCGGAAUCUACUUUUUCGUGGGGGAUAACGUAGGGAAACUUACGCUAAUACCGCAUACUACCUACGGGUGAAAGCAGGGGAUCUUCGGACCUUGCGCGAUUGGAUGAGCCGAUGUCGGAUUAGCUAGUUGGCGGGGUAAAGGCCCACCAAGGCGACGAUCCGUAGCUGGUCUGAGAGGAUGAUCAGCCACACUGGAACUGGGACACGGUCCAGACUCCUACGGGAGGCAGCAGUGGGGAAUAUUGGACAAUGGGCGCAAGCCUGAUCCAGCCAUACCGCGUGGGUGAAGAAGGCCUUCGGGUUGUAAAGCCCUUUUGUUGGGAAAGAAAAGCAGCAGGUUAAUCCCCCGCUGUUCUGACGGUACCCAAAGAAUAAGCACCGGCUAACUUCGUG